rnacentral:rRNA from 1 species
AGGGUGUAAACGCUGCGGGCUUGGUGUUGGGGUCCUUGAGGGCGCCCAGUGCCGGAGAGAAGUUGUUAAGCCUGCUGCUUGGGGAGUACGUCCGCAAGGAUGAAACUUAAAGGAAUUGGCGGGGGAGCACCGCAACGGGAGGAGCGUGCGGUUCAAUUGGAUUCAACGCCGGACAACUCACCAGGAGCGACGGAUAUAUGAAGGUCAAGCUGAUGACUUUACCUGAUUUUUCCGAGAGGAGGUGCAUGGCGUAGUCGUGU